rnacentral:lncRNA from 1 species
AACAAAACAAAACCUCAUUCAUUCUGAUGUCCCACAAAAUUCUUUUUCAAGUUAUUAAGACAGACAAUUAUUGCACGUAUUUCUCACAGCAGCAAGAACUUCCAGGCGGAGCAACGUCUCUUCCCAAAAUUGUCAUUCCCAUAAUUGCUUAUGUUAAAGCAGCAACAGUUCAUGAUGGAUUCAUCAGCACUUUACCAGUUCUUUGUUUGCCAAAGGUUCUGCAAUGACUUCAUCACGCAUGAACUGUUCCUGGUCGUAGAUGACGCGCAGGAUGAGGGAGCAGCUGGGGCAGGUGGCCACAUCCUCUCCGUUCUCCAGGUCCUCCCGCGUGAUGAGGAAGCGGUCCCCGCAGGGGCACGGGUAGCUGUACGUCUCCGUUUCCUCAUCGUACUCGAAGUCUUCGAUCUCCA